UGGGGAAUUUUGGACAAUGGGCGAAAGCCUGAUCCAGCAAUGCCGCGUGUGUGAAGAAGGCCUUCGGGUUGUAAAGCACUUUUGUCCGGAAAGAAAUGGCUCUGGUUAAUACCUGGGGUCGAUGACGGGACCGGAAGAAUAAGGACCGGCUAACUACGUGCCAGCAGCCGCGGUAAUACGUAGGGUCCAAGCGUUAAUCGGAAUUACUGGGCGUAAAGCGUGCGCAGGCGGUUGUGCAAGACCGAUGUGAAAUCCCCGAGCUUAACUUGGGAAUUGCAUUGAUCACUGCACGGCUAGCGUGUGUCAGAGGAGGGUAGAAUUCCACGUGUAGCAGUGAAGUGCGUAGAGAUGUGGAGGAAUACCGAUGGCGAAGGCAGCCCCCUGGGAUAACACUGACGCUCAUGCACGAAAGAGUGGGGAGCAAACAGG
rnacentral:rRNA from 1 species